rnacentral:tRNA from 1 species
GCGGGCGUGGUGGAAUUGGUAGACACGCAGGUUUUAGGUACCUGUGCUUCGGCGUGGGGGUUCGACUCCCUCCGCCCGCACCA